rnacentral:rRNA from 1 species
AGAAUCAACGCUGGCGGCGUGCCUAACACAUGCAAGUCGAACGAGAAAGGGUAGCAAUACCUGAGUAAAGUGGCGCACGGGUGAGUAACACGUGACUAACCUACCCUGGAGUGGGGAAUAACUGAGGGAAACCUUAGCUAAUACCGCAUAAUACCUACGGGUCAAAGGAGCAAUUCGCUUCAGGAGGGGUCGCGGCCGAUUAGCUAGUUGGCGGGGUAAUGGCCCACCAAGGCAGUGAUCGGUA